UACAGAGGUCUCAAGCGUUGUUCGGAUUCAUUGGGCGUAAAGGGUGCGUAGGUGGCGGGGUUAGUCAGGUGUGAAAUCUCGGGGCUCAACCCCGAAACUGCACUUGAUACUGCCUUGCUAGAGUACUGGAGAGGAGAUUGGAAUUUACGGUGUAGCAGUGAAAUGCGUAGAUAUCGUAAGGAAGACCAGUGGCGAAGGCGAAUCUCUGGACAGUUACUGACACUGAGGCACGAAGGCCAGGGGAGCAAACGGG
rnacentral:rRNA from 1 species